UUCAGAUUGAACGCUGGCGGCAGGCCUAACACAUGCAAGUCGAACGUAAACAGGAAGCAGCUUGCUGCUUUGCUGACGAGUGGCGGACGGGUGAGUAAUGUCUGGGAAACUGCCUGAUGGAGGGGGAUAACUACUGGAAACGGUAGCUAAUACCGCAUAACGUCGCAAGACCAAAGAGGGGGACCUUCGGGCCUCUUGCCAUCGGAUGUGCCCAGAUGGGAUUAGCUAGUAGGUGGGGUAACGGCUCACCUAGGCGACGAUCCCUAGCUGGUCUGAGAGGAUGACCAGCCACACUGGAACUGAGACACGGUCCAGACUCCUACGGGAGGCAGCAGUGGGGAAUAUUGCACAAUGGGCGCAAGCCUGAUGCAGCCAUGCCGCGUGUAUGAAGAAGGCCUUCGGGUUGUAAAGUACUUUCAGCGGGGAGGAAGGGAGUAAAGUUAAUACCUUUGCUCAUUGACGUUACCCGCAGAAGAAGCACCGGCUAACUCCGUGCCAGCAGCCGCGGUAAUACGGAGGGUGCAAGCGUUAAUCGGAAUUACUGGGCGUAAAGCGCACGCAUGCGGUUUGUUAAGUCAGAUGUGAAAUCCCCGGGCUCAACCUGGGAACUGCAUCUGAUACUGGCAAGCUUGAGUCUCGUAGAGGGGGGUAGAAUUCCAGGUGUAGCGGUGAAAUGCGUAGAGAUCUGGAGGAAUACCGGUGGCGAAGGCGGCCCCCUGGACGAAGACUGACGCUCAGGUGCGAAAGCGUGGGGAGCAAACAGGAUUAGAUCCCCUGGUAGUCCACGCCGUAAACGAUGUCGACUUGGAGGUUGUGCCCUUGAGGCGUGGCUUCCGGAGCUAACGCGUUAAGUCGACCGCCUGGGGAGUACGGCCGCAAGGUUAAAACUCAAAUGAAUUGACGGGGGCCCGCUCAAGCGGUGGAGCAUGUGGUUUAAUUCGAUGCAACGCGAAGAACCUUACCUGGUCUUGACAUCCACGGAAGUUUUCAGAGAUGAGAAUGUGCCUUCGGGAACCGUGAGACAGGUGCUGCAUGGCUGUCGUCAGCUCGUGUUGUGAAAUGUUGGGUUAAGUCCCGCAACGAGCGCAACCCUCAUCCUUUGUUGCCAGCGGUCCGGCCGGGAACUCAAAGGAGACUGCCAGUGAUAAACUGGAGGAAGGUGGGGAUGACGUCAAGUCAUCAUGGCCCUUACGACCAGGGCUACACACGUGCUACAAUGGCGCAUACAAAGAGAAGCGACCUCGCGAGAGCAAGCGGAGGCCUUCAUCAUACUCGCGGCACGGAU
rnacentral:rRNA from 1 species